CCCGACUGCUAUCAGAGUGGGACUAAGCCAUGCGAGUCGACACAGCAAUGUGUGGCAUACGGCUCAGUAACACGUAGUCAACAUGCCCAGGGGACGUGGAUAACCUCGGGAAACUGAGGAUAAACCGCGAUAGGUCACUACUUCUGGAAUGGGUAAUGACCCAAACCUAUAUGGCCCCUGGAUUGGACUGCGGCCGAUCAGGCUGUUGGUGAGGUAAUGGCCCACCAAACCUGUAACCGGUACGGGCUCCGAGAGGAGGAGCCCGGAGAUGGGCACUGAGACAAGGGCCCAGGCCCUAUGGGGCGCAGCAGGCGCGAAACCUCUGCAAUAGGCGAAAGCUUGACAGGGUUACUCUGAGUGAUUUCCGUUAAGGAGAUCUUUUGGCACCUCUAAAAAUGGUGCAGAAUAAGGGGUGGGCAAGUCUGGUGUCAGCCGCCGCGGUAAUACCAGCACCCCGAGU
rnacentral:rRNA from 1 species